rnacentral:pre_miRNA from 1 species
CCCCUUCUGGGCCUCGGGUUCGCUUCCGCCCACGGCCGGCCGGGAAGCGGUGUCCGACGCCCGGAGGG